CAGCAGCCGCGGUAACACGUAGGGUGCAAGCGUUAAUCGGAAUUACUGGGCGUAAAGCGCACGCAGGCGGUCUGACAAGUCAGAUGUGAAAUCCCCGGGCUUAACCUGGGAACUGCAUUUGAAACUGUCAGGCUGGAGUCUUGUAGAGGGGGGUAGAAUUCCAGGUGUAGCGGUGAAAUGCGUAGAGAUCUGGAGGAAUACCGAUGGCGAAGGCAGCCAUCUGGCCUAAUACUGACGCUGAGGUACGAAAGCAUGGGGAGCAAACAGGAUUAGAUACCCCGGUAGUCCCUGUCUCUUAUAC
rnacentral:rRNA from 1 species